CGUAUCAUCAGUAAUUGUAUAUAAUGAUGCUUGUCUAAUGAUAUUCUAUAUUACAUCACUGUCUACUGUACCAAAUUGCUCCUCGAUAUGUCUAGAACCUGCUGGGAUAUUAUUUAUAAUAUACAGACUAAAGCAAACAAUCUGUUCUCCAAUCUGUGUUGUCAUUCUGAAAUCUCGGUCACCUACCCCAAAACUAUUCCGAUCAUUAAUAUCUCC
rnacentral:lncRNA from 1 species